GCGCCCGUAGCUCAGUGGAUUAGAGCGCCUGACUACGGAUCAGGAGGCCGCAGGUUCGAAUCCUGCCGGGCGCGCCA
rnacentral:tRNA from 1 species